rnacentral:pre_miRNA from 1 species
AUAAUGCUAUUGUUGAUGGGGUCGAAAAUUUGUUGCGGCCCUUUCAAUGUAGCAUUUUCU